rnacentral:rRNA from 1 species
GACGAACGCUGGCGGCGUGCUUAACACAUGCAAGUCGAACGCUGAAGCUCAGCUUUUGUUGGGUGGAUGAGUGGCGAACGGGUGAGUAACACGUGAGUAACCUGCCCCCUUCUUUGGGAUAACGCCAGGAAACGGGUGCUAAUACUGGAUAUUCACUGGUCUUCGCAUGGGGGUUGGUGGAAAGGGUUUUUCUGGGGGGGGAUGGGCUCGCGGCCUAUCAGCUUGGUGGUGGGGUGAUGGCCUACCAAGGCUUUGACGGGUAGCCGGGCUGAGAGGGUGACCGGGAACAUUGGGACUGAGAUACGGCCCAGACUCCUGCGGGAGGCAGCAGUGGGGAAUACAGCACAAUGGGCGCAAGACUGAUGCAGCGACGGCGCGUGAGGGAUGGAGGCCUUCGGGUUGUGAACCUCUUUCGCUCCUGGUUAAGCCGCAACAAUGGUUGUGGUGAGGGUAGUGGGUAAAGAAGCGCCGGCUAACUACGUG